GUCUGUAGCAAUACAGAUGCUGGCGACCGGCAAACGGGUGCGGAACACGUACGCAACCUUCCUUUAAGUGAGGAAUAGCCCAGGGGAAACUUGGAUUAAUACCUCGUAACAUCAUGAAUCGGCAUCGUUUUAUGAUUAUAGCUCCGGCGCUUAAAGAUGGGCGUGCGCCUGAUUAGGUAGUUGGCGGGGUAACGGCCCACCAAGCCUGCGAUCAGUAACUGGUGUGAGAGCACGACCAGUCACACGGGCACUGAGACACGGGCCCGACUCCUACGGGAGGCAGCAGUAAGGAAUAUUGGUCAAUGGACGCAAGUCUGAACCAGCCAUGCCGCGUGGAGGAUGAAGGUCCUCUGGAUUGUAAACUUCUUUUAUCUGGGAAGAAACCCAUAUUUUCUAGUGUGGUUGACGGUACCAGAUGAAUAAGCACCGGCUAACUCCGUGCCAGCAGCCGCGGUAAUACGGAGGGUGCAAGCGUUAUCCGGAUUCACUGGGUUUAAAGGGUGCGUAGGCGGGUUGGUAAGUCCGUGGUGAAAUCCCC
rnacentral:rRNA from 1 species